CCGUAUCGGUGAAUGAAGUGCCAAGCAGAGAUAUAUCUAGAGACGCCAAGACAAGAGAAAAGUUACUGGCUGACGGUUGGCGGGAAGAGCUGAGUUCUCUCGCACCCACCGAUUCCAGCUUUGUUUGUCUUUCCAGGAGAAGUUAGUAGAAUGAAGCUGUUUUUCUGCCUUGUGGCUGUUUUGCUUUUAUGGACAAUGGCAAGUGGGGACGCUGACCAACAUCUUGAAAAUGAGAACAACGGUAAUGAAGUGGAAUCCUAUUGGAGGGAACCCUUGGGUUGGGCCCUUGAACAGAUUGGCAAGUGGUUGCAGGUGGUGAAGGAUCAAAUAUAACUCAAAACAGCCUCUUUAACUCCGCCGAAAGGACGUUAUGGCUUCACUCGGAAGAGUUCGCGCACUCUUUAAUGCCUCAUAUUUCAAUAUUUAUUGUGUUGUUAUUACUAAAAAAACUACAAAUCUCCAGCACAAUGACUGUUAAAACAUCUCAAAUUCUCCUUCACGUGCUUCAAAAAUAAAAGCGAUCUUUCAGGGUGUUU